UACGUAGGGUGCGAGCGUUGUCCGGAAUUAUUGGGCGUAAAGAGCUCGUAGGCGGUCUGUCGCGUCUGCUGUGAAAUCCCGAGGCUCAACCUCGGGCUUGCAGUGGGUACGGGCAGGCUAGAGUGCGGUAGGGGAGAAUGGAAUUCCUGGUGUAGCGGUGAAAUGCGCAGAUAUCAGGAAGAACACCCGUGGCGAAGGCGGCUCUCUGGAACGCAACUGACGCUGAGACGCGAAAGCGUGGGGAGCAAACAGG
rnacentral:rRNA from 1 species